GCCCGGAUGGCGCAGUGGUCGUGCGCCUGGGUCCCAAAAGUCAUCAUCGAACCUAAUAGGUCUCGCCCACCCUAUUUAAACCUGUGAUGUGAGGGAUGUUGGUUCGAAUCCAGCUCUAGGCA
rfam:Oidiodendron maius Zn unplaced genomic scaffold scaffold_22, whole genome shotgun sequence.